rnacentral:rRNA from 1 species
AUGAACGCUGGCGGCGUGCCUAAUACAUGCAAGUCGAGCGAACGGACGAGAAGCUUGCUUCUCUGAUGUUAGCGGCGGACGGGUGAGUAACACGUGGAUAACCUACCUAUAAGACUGGGAUAACUUCGGGAAACCGGAGCUAAUACCGGAUGAUAUUUUGAACCGCAUGGUUCAAAAGUGAAAGACGGUCUUGCUGUCACUUAUAGAUGGAUCCGCGCUGCAUUAGCUAGUUGGUAAGGUAACGGCUUACCAAGGCAACGAUGCAUAGCCGACCUGAGAGGGCGAUCGGCCACACUGGAACUGAGACACGGUCCAGACUCCUACGGGAGGCAGCAGUAGGGAAUCUUCCGCAAUGGGCGAAAGCCUGACGGAGCAACGCCGCGUGAGUGAUGAAGGUCUUCGGAUCGUAAAACUCUGUUAUUAGGGAAGAACAUAUGUGUAAGUAACUGUGCACAUCUUGACGGUACCUAAUCAGAAAGCCACGGCUAACUACGUG